GCUUGUCUCAAAGAUUAAGCCAUGCAUGUCUAAGUAUAACUCUUUUACUUUGAAAACUGCGAACGGCUCAUUAUAUCAGUUAUAGUUUCUUUGAUAGUCCCUUACUACUUGGAUACCCGUAGUAAUUCUAGAGCUAAUACAUGCAUCAAUACCCAACUGUUCGCGGAAGGGUAGUAUUUAUUAGGUAUAGACCAACCCUCCUCGGAGGUGCUUUGGUGAUUCAUAAUAACUUUUCGAAUCGCAUGGCCUUGUGCCGGCGAUGGAUCAUUCAAGUUUCUGCCCUAUCAGCUUUCGAUGGUAGUGUAUUGGACUACCAUGGCGGUGACGGGUAACGAAGAAUAAGGGUUCGGUUUCGGAGAGGGAGCCUGAGAGAUGGCUACCACAUCCAAGGAAGGCAGCAGG
rnacentral:rRNA from 1 species